AUUGAACGCUGGCGGCAUGCUUUACAUAUGCAAGUCGAACGGUAACAGCACUUCGGUGGCUGACGAGUGGCGAACGGGUGAGUAAUACAUCGGAACGUGCCUAGUAGUGGGGGAUAACUACUCGAAAGAGUAGCUAAUACCGCAUGAGAUCUAAGGAUGAAAGCAGGGGACCUUCGGGCCUUGCGCUACUAGAGCGGCUGAUGGCAGAUUAGGUAGUUGGUGGGAUAAAAGCUUACCAAGCCGACGAUCUGUAGCUGGUCUGAGAGGACGACCAGCCACACUGGGACUGAGACACGGCCCAGACUCCUACGGGAGGCAGCAGUGGGGAAUUUUGGACAAUGGGCGCAAGCCUGAUCCAGCAAUGCCGCGUGCAGGAUGAAGGCCUUCGGGUUGUAAACUGCUUUUGUACGGAACGAAAAGCCCUCUUCUAAUACAGGAGUGUCAUGACGGUACCGUAAGAAUAAGCACCGGCUAACUACGUG
rnacentral:rRNA from 1 species